rnacentral:sRNA from 5 species
CAAGGUGUUAAAUCGUCAGGAUGAGAACCGUAAAGGUUCGAGUCUCGCGAAGCGAGACAACAUCACUCCGGUGGUGGCCCGAAGGGCGAGUUAUCCUACACGACCCACCA